AGGAGCCGCUGCCAGCCAAGAGAGAGGGAGAGAGGGGGAGAGAGAGAGAGAGAGAGAGAGAACCAUUAAAAAAGGUGGGUCUUCUUCGGCACGGGUCUUCCUCUUCCUCCAUCGCCGCCGGAGAGGAAGGAAGGCGCCGGAUCUUCGUCGGGGCUAAGGUUCUGCGAGGAAUUUGUGAGAUUAAUUGGAUUUGUUGUGGAUCGCGUU